UACGUAGGGUGCGAGCGUUUGUCCGGAAUUAUUGGGCGUAAAGAGCUCGUAGGCGGUUUGUUGCGUCGGCCGUGAAAACCUGCAGCUUAACUGUGGGCGUGCGGGCGAUACGGGCAGACUGGAGUACUGCAGGGGAGACUGGAAUUCCUGGUGUAGCGGUGGAAUGCGCAGAUAUCAGGAGGAACACCGGUGGCGAAGGCAGUUCUCUGGGGCCGUAACUGACGCUGAGGAGCGAAAGCGUGGGGAGCAAACAGG
rnacentral:rRNA from 1 species